GACGAACGCUGGCGGCGUGCUUAACACAUGCAAGUCGAGCGGAGCGGCGAACGGGUGAGUAACGCGUGAGUAACUGCACCCCUCCCUGGGCUAACAGUUGGAAACGGCUGCUAAUACCGGAUAGUUGGGUAUGACUCGCGUCCGAUCUGCUUGUUGGUGGGGUAGUGGCCUACCAAGGUGACGACGGGUAGCCGGCCUGAGAGGGCGACCGGCCACAUUGGGCUGAGAUACGGCCCAAACUCCUACGGGGGGCAGCAGUGGGUAAUAAUGCACAAUGGGGGAUACCCUGAUGCAGCAACGCCACGGGCGGGAUUACGGCGAUCGGGUGGUAAACCGCUUUCAGCCAUGACGCGGGAGGGGCAGAAGAAGCACCGGCUAACUUCGUGCCAGCAGCCGCGGUAAUAC
rnacentral:rRNA from 1 species